UACGUAGGGGGCUAGCGUUGUCCGGAUUUAUUGGGCGUAAAGAGCGUGUAGGCGGCCAGGUAGGUCUGCUGUGAAAACUGGAGGCUUAACCUCCAGACGUCGACGGAAACCGCGUGGCUAGAGUCCGGAAGAGGAGAGUGGAAUUCCUGGUGUAGCGGUGAAAUGCGCAGAUAUCAGGAAGAACACCAAUGGCGAAGGCAGCUCUCUGGGACGGUACUGACGCUGAGACGCGAAAGCGUGGGGAGCGAACAGG
rnacentral:rRNA from 1 species